rnacentral:lncRNA from 1 species
CAGGUUGUUGCCGACAGCACGUUAUUAUCCCCUGAGGUUCCACUACAUUCGCUCCCUUAACUUGAUGUCCAAAACCAAAGACACUUAUAUUCCAAUAGCGCCAUUUCUCUUACAGAUCUUAGAUGCAGAGUUUAAAAAGAAAAUAAAAAUGNCUACAGCUAAGCCUCUAGAUUUCAAUGAGCUAGCAAAUAAUGAAGGACUUAGAAAAACACUUGUCACACAACUAUAGUACUCUAAAGACUAAAAAAAUAUUGUACUAAAUAAAGUCCUUCGUUAUUUGCUAGCUCAUUGAAAAUUGCAACCACAAAUUAUCAUAGUCGGAAGGGUUUUGGAAAGCAAUCAGGCAUUAAUUGUAAAGCGUGAGGAAUUGGAAUGCACGACUUUGGAAAUGUUCUGGACAAUUGAAAGGCGUAACGAUAUAAACAAAGUGCGAGGGAAGAAAGCGGUCGCAUAUUUAGCAUUGGGAUACAAAUGUUUACGGAAUUGAGAAUAUUAUUAGAUGGUUUUAAAUUAUUUCAAUAAACUUGAAACUUUAGAGUAUAUGAAUGCGUUAUCUAAAGUAACUGACUUUGAAGUUAAAAAAGAAUUCAUCAUCGGAUUAUUGAGUUUGACCGUUUUUAGUAAAGACAAGUGAAAUCUUUGACAGGAUAUCAAAAGGCACAACUUUACUAACUAGGCUUGAAAUCAUAUUUCUCGAAAUUGAAUAGAGCAAUUUCUUUCCAUUUCUCAGAAGGACUAGUGGAAUAGUAACNCAACACUAUGACNCNAAAAAAAGCUUUUCCCAAGUCCAGUAAGAAAAGGUUUCGGUCACAUGAACUAAUUGCUUUNGAUUGUUUACAUUUUUUGUUGUUUUCAAAAGUUCCGAAACGCUUCCAUGCAAAUCUUCGAAACUUCGUCAACUUGAAGACAAACAUAUGAACUUUAAGAACUUUUAAACCAUUUUUUAAACAAACGUCUGAUUUCACCAAAAAUGGAAAGUAUAGAAAAAUGACAUGACGUCACUUUUAUCGCUAUGGUAACUCCGAUUGCGAUAAAUUGUAUAUCAUGUAAAACUUGAAUCUAUCUCUAGACAGGUCAUGGUAAUUUAUUUGAAAUUAACUUAUUGGCAGCGAUGCAUUUCUCCUUUAAACUUUGAAGGUACGCUACAAACAAAACCCAGUCGAGCCACCUUAAAUAAUAAUAAGAAAUUACUAAAAAAAAUGGGUAAUUACUUUCAUAUUCAUUAAUUGCAUUUUUGUAAUUAAUAUUAAAAACUUAUUCUUUAUAGAAAAAAAUGUAUUGAUCACGUCAUUCCCUUCAACGUUAUUUCUUUGUUCACUAUAAAUACAUGUACUCUGGAUUACACAUUUUUAGCAUUGAUGAUUAACGCAAACUUGUUCUCAAGGGAUUGAUAUGUGCUUUCACUUCCCGAUUAAUCUACAGCUAUUUCAAAAAAGGUUUGUGAAGGUUAGUUGCAUAUUCCUUACUCAGCUUGAAAUAUAUUUUAAUUUAUAUGUAAAUAAUCUCNGCACAGAAUAAAAUUAUGUCAGGAAUACCUGCAGAUAAACUCUGUACAAAUUCCAUAUCAUUGUGGCCUCUCUUUGAUGUAAUUCACAGCGUCCAUACUGCAUUUUAGGCUUGGUAUAAGCAACUUGCAACAAAAUCUUCACCAACCAUUUUUAAAUGCACACCUUAGUACUGUAUUAUUAGCAAAAAUGGUNGUCAAAGCCAAAGGAAAGCUAGGUGAUAGGUGAGCUAGGUUGUAUGUGUCAAGNGAUAUAUGACAUUCCAUAAUAAAAAACUUGCAUUUUCCUAUUAUUAUUCUCAUCAAGCAUACAGAGUUUUGUGUUAAGAUAUUUUAAAAUGCUGCAUAUGACCANCAAAGCCAUUAUAAUUGGUGUUCUGAUGGCAGCAGUAUCUUUUUCUCUUAGAAUCAGUGGCGGAUCCAGGAUUUUUGAAAACGGGGUCUAGAUUUUCCACUUCUUUGCAUUUACUAUGUGAGUGCUGUUCGUUUGAAUACUUGAGUUUGGCCAAUUANCAGUACGACGCCAAGAACAAGCUAUAACAACAGGACACAACCCAAAACUUCUGUAAUCUUUUUAAUUAAAAUCUACAGA